GUGGGGCGUAGUGGCGGGCACCUGUAAUCCCAGCUCCUCGGGAGGCUGAGGCAGGAGAAUUGUUUGAACUCGGGAGGCAGAGGUUGCAGUGAGCUGAGAUCACACCACUGCACUCCAGCCUGGGUGAUGGAGCAAGACUCUUAUCUCAAAAAAAAAAAAAAAAAAAGGAAAAAAAGGGGAGUCUCGCUCCAUCACCCAGGCUGGAGUGCGGUGCUGUGAUCUCGGCUCACUGCAACCUCUGCGUUCCGGGUUCAAGUAAUUCUCCUGCCUCAG
rnacentral:SRP_RNA from 1 species